rnacentral:tRNA from 1 species
AAAGAGAAAAAUUUGAGCUGCUAACUUAAAAUUUAAGCGGUUAAACUCCGUUUUUUCUUUG